GACCAGAUAAAACAUUCCAGUGAUGGAGAACAGAGUAAAAGAAGGUCUGGAUUGGGAUGGGACUAUUAAAGGAUCAUAAUUUUGUUGUUGUUCGGGAAAGUAGACAGGAUGACUUUGACAAUAGCAGAACAAUUGGAAACAAUUUCCCUUUCUCUCCCUCCUUACCCACAGUCCUUCCUUCUUUGGAGAAGUUCAGGCUACCCUCAAACUGACUAUAUAGGCAAUGAUAAACUUCUCUUUCCACCUCUGGAGAGCUGGGAUUUCCAUCACUCAACCAAUGGAGCCACACAGCAGCCCUUAUUUAUCUAUAAGACCCUGUUGCUUCCUGUUCCUAGAGAAGGAAGCAUUAUGGUGACCAGUGGUAGAGGUUGGCUAUUGAUGUUCCUAUUUGCAUUAUAGAAGCACUCAAUUUGUCCAGUGAGGCCAACACUACCAUCUUGUGUAUGAACUCUAGGGAACCAAAACACCAGAGCAGGAAGUCAGGUGAGCAGCUUUAUGAGUUAGCUGCUUUUGUGGCUCUUUCAGCUUCUGCUAUGGUCAGCACUGCUGAUGUCUUGAGAAAACUUUCUCCUUCUGGUCACACUGUCCUGAUAAUAGGUAUUCAUUAUUUCCAUGGACAACUUUCCUUUCUGGUCAACUAAGGAAGCAUUGCAGCCCCGAUGUGUUGGAACUAAGGUGCCAUGAACUUAUCUGCUGCCCACUAAUCAGACCUCCCAGGCAUAAACCUCAAGCAUUCAUCACGGUGUGGCCUUCUGCUGGCCCUACCUAGUAAAGACAGCUAGGCCUGAGCACGGUCAGCAGGAGCACCAGGAGAAGUUCUCAUCUGUGCUUCUCUCAGGGAAGUGAAGAUCAGCAAAGACUCGAGACCAACAAGCAUUGCACAGCUAGCUGUACCAGCAAGCCAAGCUCAGCCUCAGUCACUGUUGAGUCCUGUUUAUACCCUCCAAACAUCACAUGUCCUCCACAGGUCUUGCCUCAGCAUGUGCAUCUUUCGUGGCUGUUAUCACUCUGUCAAUCAGCCCAAGUUCUGCAGAAGCAAUAAAAAACUGCAGCACACCACCAGAAGUUUUUUUGGUGCGUUUCUCUCUAUGGAGCCCUGACAAAUGCAGCUCAUCUAUGCAAUGUAAGGCAGGCCAAUACAUGCAUGCUGUUAGCAAAGAAGCCUUCAUCACGUGUCCUUUCGCAUGCUUGCUUUAGCAGGACAUCCAUUCAUCUGCGUCUACUUCAGCUAAAUGUUCUUUCAGGAGUCUGCCUUAGCCUUUCGCCUGUGUCCACUUCAGCUAAGUGUUCCUUCACGUGUUUGCUCCAGCAAAACAACAUCCAACCGACUCUCCAAAGAACCCUCAAGUCUCCACUUCAGGCGUGCAGUGCCAGUUCUCAGCUGCUGUGUUUGUGGUUAUAAAGGUCAGGUUUCAUACUCUGCUUUCCAGCUUGGGUUCUGCUCAGACUUUUCAUCCAAGUGACCACAGUUAGGUCGGACCUGCCUUCUUGUCACAUGGCUUACAAGACCCCCGCUUGCAGCUUGCUUUGUCUCUGUUCACUUUUCCUCAUAGCUUUCCUCAGAGAUUGAUUCUCCUAUGUGGAAAACAUUCCCCGACUUCUCCGACAUUCACCUAGCCUUCAAAGUUCCACUGAAACCCCACUCGACUCUCUCUGUGUGCUCUUCCAGGCUCCUAUCAGCUUGGAGAAGGUGGGAAAACAAUUCCCUUGGCUUUGAUCUCUUUAUUUUAUGAAUCAGCUCUUACUCACAAGGCUCUGGUUAAAUAGCACCCUUGUGAGGUGUGGCUGUUCCAGUGGGGGCUGCCUGUCGAUGUGGCUUUGUAGUUGGCUUUUCAUAGUCUCAGCCGGCUGUUUACAUCUUUGUUUUAUCUGCUUCUUCACACUUGGGGCUCUUGGAAGGCAGAGUCCUGGCAGCUGCUUCUGUAUCACAGAACCUGGUCUGAGAGGGUCCCGGCACAGACCCUCUGAUUGCGGAACUCAGUCGGCUGAAAGAAGACCGAGAAUCGUAGUAGCUGCCUGAGAGACUAUUGAGCAGACCACACCGUGCUCACUGUUAGUUGCAUGCACUUGACUUUGUAUUGAAGUGAUACUGUCAUUUUCUUAGUCACCUUGGUAUCCCCCAUGACAUUCGAUUGAGUUAGUGUCCCUCUAAGAGUAGGGCAUCCUGUGUGGGAUUUUUUUUUUUCUUUUGUUCGUUUGUUGUUUGAGUUUGAAGGGAAGCACCUUAGAUGAGCUGCAUCUGUUUUCGAAAUGCUUUCAGAUCGUCGCUGUGGCUGUCAGUAAGGGUUUUAAAGAAACCAGGCAAGUGGGGGGUGAGAGUAUGAGGCUUGAAGUUAUAUACGGGAGUCCAAUUCUGUUGUCCUGUUAAAACAUUUACAUUCCACUGUAAAGAAAGGUGACGCUUGCAUUCCUCAUUUGUGAUCUUUCUCACUUCCUGAGCAUCGUGGUAUGUACCUUCAACAGUUUUUCCAGGGGGGUUGCUAUCUUCCUUCACUAAUGGGAUGGUGGGAUUCGGAUAGUGGCCACUACAAAGAAACGGAGGUAUGAUUUGAACUCAGGUCUGUUGGUAAGGGAACCUGCUUCUUCCUAUUGUCUGAUAAUGCAUUUUUUUCCCUGAAUUAACUGUAAGGUGUCAUUAAAUAUAUGCUUGCUCAUUCUUUGUUCUGUGUAAUAGCUGCUUUAGAUAUUUGCAGGGUCUGUCAUAUAUAAUCUGAUCCAGAGAUCUUCAUCAUCAGUAUAGUUGCAGAUGGAUUAAGCCCUGAGGGUUACACAGAAAGCUAUGCUGGAUUCCCAGUGUUUGAUUUCCUUGGAAGGAAGCCAGAAGAUGCUUCUGAGAGCCCAGCCCUAUCUCAGUCACCCUGUACUACUGUAGUUCUAGAUGGUGCAUUUUUUGCUUCUUUUAGUGUGGUUUAAGAUAGGCUUAUUUAAUCAGGCAGUCCAAAUAAUGUAUUGAGUCCUCACUGUGUGCUAGGUGGUACUGUUGGCCCUGGAGGGUGUUGAAUGAGGCAGAGCAUGCAGUACCAUCAAGGAGUUCACAUUUUAGUGGGAAGAAUAGCCAUCAGCCAGACAUGGAAGGAUACACAGACAAGGGCAUGAGACAGCUCAGAUGCUGGAGGCCAUUGGCCAAUCGGGCUGUCAAAUAGAGCAGUGUGAAGUGGUAUGGUCUCUGCAAGAAAGCUUUGUGGGGUAUGAAGAAGUAGCUCCUGUGUGAGGAAAGAGCCCUCAGGCUGAAGGACAGCUCAGGCUGAAGGACAGGGCUGUGGUCUGUUUCUUCCCUCACACUCAGGACAGGCUUCCACAGGCCUUGAGACUAGCAUAGGAAAGGGUCUGUGGGAUGCACCCACCCUACAGUCACUCUACAGUCAGACGGUGGAUGCUCAGGGUGGAGGCUGUGGAAAGAGUUUACCACUUUAACUGUUCUGGCAGCUGUGUUUUCUAGGCACAAUUCUGCUUGUUGUUAAGUCUGUGUGAUUUGUAAACUCAUGAUCAUUUCAGGUUUGUCAGUGUUCUAGACUGAUGAAGAUGACAGGCUAGGGAGUGGAGUACUGGCUAGUGUGAGUUACUGUCCUGCAUGAAGGCUGAGGCUUGGAAUAGUGUAGUUUGUCUCUUUGAAGCUGCAUGUGGGCCUGGGCAUUCCAGGUAGAAAUUAUAUUAUUGCUGUAAGUAGCCCUGAUUCUUCCCCUGUUGAUUUUUAAAAGUUUUCU
rnacentral:lncRNA from 1 species